AACAAAAUAUAAUUGUUUUUUCAAUUUAAAAAAAAUGAAAAACCCAAACCCUAAAAUAUCUCUGCGGGAGAGCAUCAAACAUGGAAAGAGUUUUCAAAUUUGCCACUAUUCGUACCUGAGUCAGUGUUUUUUCCUGUCUUCUUUUCAUCUCUUUGUUUCAAAGAGCGGGAAACGAAGAAAAGCCUAAAGUUAGGGGUUUUGUGUUUUUUUUCUUCGAGUGAUGGCGAAUGUAGCAGUGGAUAAAGAUCAACAAUGGCUAAUGAAUUUCCGUUUAAGGUAAGUCAGAAAUCUUAGUAAUGCUUUCCUUUUUAUUGUGUUUCCAUUUAUUGUUUUAUAUAUACGUUUUUUUUUAUCACAGAAAAAGAAGUUUGAAGUUGUUCAAUGUAAUGCUACUAUAAAUAAAGGUUUCUGUAUUUGUAUUGAUUUUAAACUCUUUUUUGGGGGGGGGGGUUAUAUAAUGUUAACUUUCGAUGGCGUUCUUUGGUUUGUUCAUCUUUGUUUCAUUGGAGAGCUGAUAGGUGAGUUAGUGUAUUUUCUUUAUUUUUUAUGUUUAUUUAUAUAUAAAUUAAUAUUUGAAUCUCACUGUUUUCUGUUUGUUUCUCGGGAUUUUGCUUCUCGGUUUUGUUCCUUCCCAAAUAUCCUUUCUUUUUUCAAAAUUUUCUCUUCUUCGUCCUCACACUUUCUGGGAUUUUUAUUCCAUUGUUAUCAGUUUUCUUUAUCAACUUUUUUUAAUGAUUUUAUAAUAUUACAGGAAUUGUUGUGUAAAUUAGAAAGAGUGGGAGCUUUCAAUUGUCAUAUCGAUUCACGCAAACACAAUAAGAAGUGAGGAGGAAGUUAACAGAGGUGAAAUUUUGUGUUUGUUUUGUAAGAGGUACGUACAUUUGUCGACCUUUUUUUUUUCUGUUAGCUGCAGAAUUUCUUUACCCAUUUAAUUAGGCUAAUUUGUUGAUAUAUGCCGAAAAUUUUGAAAUUUAUCUAUUCAUGUCAGAGUAAAAACGCUGUAAUGGCCUAAAUUCAAGGUUAUCGGAACAAUGGUUUCGUAACCAUAGAUCCGAUUUAAAGAGACCAUAGAUCCGAUUUAAAGAGAAAUUUAUUUCAAUAUUUUUCCUUGAAAAUUUAUAUGAUAGGAAAAUCGUAUGAAAAUAUUGAUAGGAAAAUUUUAUUGAUUUAGUAAUUAGUUAGAAAAAGAAAUUAUUGAAGAAAUUGGGUAAAAUAAGGUUAUUAAUGUGGUAUUAAAAUUUUAUAAAUAUUUAAAAUAUUUAUGAAAUGUUAUUAAUUUGGUAUUAAAAUUUCGUUAGGAAAUUUUAAUAUUUGGGUAGUCAAUGAAAUGAAAAGGACUGAAUUGUAAUAGGUGUAAAAGUUACUAGAGUGAUUAAAUAGCUUAUUAGUCUAAUGAGGAAGGAUAUAAAAGGCAAUUAGACCCAAAAGUUAUUUGGGCUGGACGGCAAGGGUAUGAAAUCCGCAGAAAAAUUGAUAAAUUAAGGGUAAAAUUGGAAUAUUGCAAAAUUAACUAAAUAAAACUAGGACUAAAUAGGAAAUAUCUAGAUUUUUCUUCAUUUCUCUUCAAUUCCAGUAGCUAAAAAUGCCAUAGGAGGGUUCUCUAAGCUGGUAUUUCAUAAUUUUUGCACCAAAUGAGUUAAUCCUUGCCUUUUUCUUGUAAUUUUUGUGUUUCUAAGACUUUUACAACUAGAUCCUACUAUUAAAUUCAUUAGUUUUUGAUUUCAUGGAUGAAAUUUCAAGUCACCAUGGUUGAGUGCUGUAAGUUUAUGAUGAAAUAGAAUGAAAUUAAAGCUUUAAUUUGUUUAUGAGAUGAUUUUAUUAGGCAAUUUCAAUGGAAAUUGAUUUUUGGGACCUAAUUGUGAAAAUGUUUGGAAUUAAAGUCUAUUGCUGAAAUUCUGAUUCCUAAAGGUUGUAAACUAGUUUAAGGUGAUAUAAUAAAAUGUUAAUUGAGAAAAAUCAGCUCAAUUAAGAGGCUAAUUGAGUAGGGACGAAAUUAUCAUUUAUUAAAAGCUUAGGGGAAAAAUGGUAAUAAACAGCUUGCACUAAAACAGUUUGGACAACAGCAGUAAACUAACUUUGACAAAUCACCAAAAAUUGUAGGAAUCGAAUUAGAAGAUGAACAAAAUAUAGAAUUAAAUCUUAUUGAGUCUAGUUUCUCAUAGAAGAAAUAUUGUAAGCAAUGGAUUUGUAAAUUUUUAGAUAUAAUAAAUUUUGUGAGACAAGGUCAGAAUGAAUUCGGGUUCCCCUGUUCUGACUUUGAAAAAUUAUAAAAAAUUGAAUACAAAUAAUUAGGGACUUAAAUUUAUAUGUAUAGAAUUCUAAAUGAGUCUAUUUUUAAUAGAAACAAACAAAAACAUCAUUUGAAUUUUGUAUAAAGAGAUAAUUUAUUUUUAGUGAAGAAGGGUCAGAACUGUUAGACAACAGAACAGGGGUGACUUUGAAGAAUAAACUGUAUGAUUGGCUAAACCAAAAAUUCUGAAAAUUUUAUGGUAAAAAUAUCUAUGAGUCUUUUUUUAGAAAAAAUUAACGGAUCUUAAUUUGGAGUUCUGUAGCUCAUGUUAUAAAUAAUUUAGUGACUAUAACUCAAGUAGACAGCUUUGAAUGAACUAUAAAUAAUAGUUGAAUUAUAGAGAAUGUUGCAUAUGAACAUGAAAUGUAUUAAAUUGAUAAUUAAAUUUAUUUAUUUAGAUCCAGAAGAUUCAAAUACGAAGCUAGAUCGAGGAAAGGAAAAAGUUCGGGAUUAAUAAAUUUUUACUGUUUACAAACAAGUAUUAAGGUAAGUUCGUGUAACUUGAAUUAUAUUCUUAAAUGCUUGAAAUGCAUGUUUUUGAUAUGAAUAUGAUUUGAAUGUUCAUUAUAUGGAAAUUUAUGAAACAUUGAUAUAUUUGAUAAAAUGGGAAGAAAUCCCGUUUCAUUCAAAUGGGAAGAAAUCUCGUUUGAAUGAAAGGAAAAUUUGAUGGAUCUUUGAAAAGGAAUUGACGGUAAAAAGGAUCUAGCCCGGACGGGUGAUCCUAUCCUGAUAUAGCCAUCCGGAAGAAUAUGUGUAAAAUGGAUUUAGCCCGGACGGGUAAUCCGAAUUAGGGUCUGAAUUUAGCCUGGACUGGUAAUUCAGAUCCAAGCUCAUUAGAGUAAUUGUCGUUGCAGGGGAUUUAGCCUGGGCUGGUAAUCCCGACAAUACUCUAUGAGUUUAUAUUACAGGGGAUUUAGCUUGGACUGGUAAUCCCGCUGCAAGGUUGAGGUUCGCGAGAGUGUGCUCUCUGAAAUGAAAAUGUGCGCACAUGAAUAUGAAUUGACGGAACCGAAAUUGUACACUAAAAGUGUACCUCUGAAAAUCCAUCGAAAUUCUGAUAAAUUCAACGGGAUAAAUAUGAAAAAUAACAAGGAAAUGGAAAUCAUGGUAUUGACGAGCUCAUCAAUCUUGGUAUAUAUAUUAUUGAUACAUGAAAAUUAUUGUACUAACUUAAAUGUUGAGUUUGUGCAUGUUAGGGUAAUAAUGCAUUGAAUGGAUAUAUGAAUGUUUAUUAUAUUGUAUUGAAAAUAUUAGGUAAGUAUAAUUCUUGUUACAUGAGCUUACUAAGCACAAAGUGUAAUGGCGUAAAUUCAAUUUUAUCGGAACAGUGGUUUCGUAACCACAAAUUCGAUUUAAAGAGAAAUUUAUUUCAAUAUUUUUGCUUGAAAAUUUAUAUGAUAGGAAAAUCGUAUGAAAAUAUUGAUAGGAAAAUUUUAUCGAUUUUGUGAUUAGUUAGAAAAAGAAAUUAUUGAAGAAAUUAGGUAAAAUAAGGUAUCGAGACCUCUAUCUCGUAAAACCGAGUCGAAAAUAAUUUUAUAAAUAUUUAUGAAAUGUUAUUAAUGUGGUAUUAAAAUUUCGUUAGGAAAUUUUAAUGUUUGGGUAGUCAAUUAAAUGAAAAGGACUGAAUUGUAAUAGGUGUAAAAGUUACUAGAGUGAUUAAAUAGCUUAUUAGUCUAAUGAGAAAGGAUAUAAAAGGCAAUUAGACCCAAAAGUUAUUUUGGCUAGACGGUAAGGUAUGAAAUCAGCAGAAAAAUUGAUAAAUUAAGGGUAAAAUUGGAAUAUUGCAAAAUUAACUAAAUAAAACUAGGACUAAAUAGGAAAUAUCUAGAUUUUUCUUCAUUUCUCUUCAAUUCCAACAGCUAAAAACGCCAUAGGAGGGUUCUCUAAGCUGGUAUUUCAUAAUUUUUGCACCAAGUGAGUUAAUCCUUGCCUUUUUCUUGUAAUUUUUGUGUUUCUAAGACUUUUACAACUAGAUCUUACUAUUAAAUUCAUUAGUUUUUGAUUUCAUGGAUGAAAUUUAAAGUUACCAUGGUUGAGUGCUGUAAGUUUAUGAUGAAAUAGAAUGAAAUUAAAGCUUUAAUUUGUUUAUGAGAUGAUUUUAUUAGGCAAUUUCAAUGGAAAUUGAUUUUUGGAACCUAAUUGUGAAAAUGUUUGGAAUUAAAGUCUAUUGCUGAAGUUCUGAUUCCUAAAGGUUGUAAACUAGUUUAAGGUGAUAGAAUAAAAUGUUAAUUGAGAAAAAUCAGCUCAAUUAAGAGGCUAAUUGAGUAGGGACGAAAUUAUCAUUUAUUAAAAGCUUAGGGGAAGAAAUGGUAAUAAACAGCUUGCACAAAAACAGUUUGGACAGCAGCAGUAUACUAACUUUGAAAAAUCACCAAAAAUUGUAGGAAUCAAAUUAGAAGAUGAAGAAAAUAUGGAAUUAAAUCUUAUUGAGUCUAAUUUCUCAUAGAAGAAAUAUUGUAAGCAAUGAAUUUGUAAAUUUUUAGAUAUAAUGAAUUUUGUGAGACAAUGUCAGAAUGAAUUCGGGUUCCCCUGUUCUGACUUUGAAAAAUUAUAAAAAAAUUGAAUACAAAUAAUUAGGGACUUAAAUUUAUAUGUCUAGAAUUCUGAAUGAGUAUAUUUUUAAUAGAAACAAACAAGAACAUCAUUUGAAUUCUGUAUAAAGAGAAUUUAUUUUUAGUGAAGAAGGGUCAGAACUGUUAGACAACAGAACAGGGGUGACUUUGAAGAAUAAACUGUACUGAUUGGCUAAAGCAAAAAUUCUGAAAAUUUUAUGGUAAAAAUAUAUAUGAGUCUAGUUUCAGGAAAAAUUAACAGAUCUUAGUUUGGAGUUUCGUAGCUCAAAUUAUAAAUAAUUUAGUGACUAUGACUCAAGUACACAGCUUUGAAUGAACUAUAAAUAAUAGUUGAAUUAAAGAGAAUGUCGCAUAUGAACAUGAAAUGUAUUAAAUUGAUAAUUAAAUUUAUUUAUUUAGAUCUGGACGAUUCAAAUACGAAGCUAGAUCGAGGAAAG
rnacentral:lncRNA from 1 species